AGAAUGGGGGAGAGGUGCCAGAAGAGCUGGCAGCAAGGCCUGAAAUGACAGAGAUAUGGAAAAAGCUUUGCCUGUAUCAGCCCAGCCUGAGGACAAGGCCAGGGUAACCGGGAGCUAAUGAGAGUCUUCAGAGAAGAAGGCUGGGUUUCUGUAAGACACUCCUGAUGCAAACAGGCAGGGGGGAGGAGCAGUAUUUUAUUCAGCUCCUUGGUGGUUCGUGAAAUAUCUGAGACAGUGAACAUCUUUGGACCUAAGCUGUAUCACCUUGGGAUAAAUCCCCAGAUAAGUAAAUAGGAGGGCAAAGAAAAAGACUAUUUUCUGUAACAUUGAUUUAUAAUGCUAAAUUCAAUCUAAAUGGGUUAUUUCUACUUUUCAAA